rnacentral:rRNA from 1 species
UACGUAGGUGGCAAGCGUUAGCCGGAUUUACUGGGUGUAAAGGGCGUGUAGGCGGGAGAGCAAGUCAGACGUGAAAUUCCAGGGCUCAACCCUGGAACUGCGUUUGAAACUGUUCUUCUUGAGUGAUGGAGAGACAGGCGGAAUUCCGUGUGUAGCGGUGAAAUGCGUAGAUAUACGGAGGAACACCAGUGGCGAAGGCGGCCUGCUGGACAUUAACUGACGCUGAGGCGCGAAAGCGUGGGGAGCAAACAGG